AAUCUGUGUUAUGGGCAUUUUCUCAGGAGCUCCUUGAACAUUUCCUACGUCUCAAAUAGAGACUCUGAUUCUGACUGUACAAAGGAUGAGAUCUCAUUCCUAAGCUU